rnacentral:rRNA from 1 species
GUGAGGAAUAUUGGACAAUGGGCGCAAGCCUGAUCCAGCCAUGCCGCGUGCAGGAAGACGCAUCUAUGGUGUGUAAACUGCUUUUGUACGGGAAGAAACACUCCCUCGUGAGGGAGCUUGACGGUACCGUAAGAAUAAGGAUCGGCUAACCCCGUGCCAGCAGCCGCGGUAAUACGGAGGAUCCAAGCGUUAUCCGGAAUCAUUGGGUUUAAAGGGUCCGUAGGCGGUUUAAUAAGUCAGUGGUGAAAGCCCAUCGCUCAACGAUGGAACGGCCAUUGAUACUGUUAGACUUGAAUUACAAGGAAGUAACUAGAAUAUGUAGUGUAGCGGUGAAAUGCUUAGAUAUUACAUGGAAUACCAAUUGCGAAGGCAGGUUACUACUUGUGGAUUGACGCUGAUGGACGAAAGCGUGGGGAGCGAACAGGAUUAGAAACCCGGGUAGUCC